rnacentral:rRNA from 1 species
CCUACGGGCGGCUGCAGUGGGGAAUAUUGGACAAUGGGCGAAAGCCUGAUCCAGCCAUGCCGCGUGUGUGAAGAAGGCCUUUUGGUUGUAAAGCACUUUAAGUGGGGAGGAAAAGCUUAUGGUUAAUACCCAUAAGCCCUGACGUUACCCACAGAAUAAGCACCGGCUAACUCUGUGCCAGCAGCCGCGGUAAUACAGAGGGUGCAAGCGUUAAUCGGAAUUACUGGGCGUAAAGCGCGCGUAGGUGGUUAUUUAAGUCAGAUGUGAAAGCCCCGGGCUUAACCUGGGAACUGCAUCUGAUACUGGAUAACUAGAGUAGGUGAGAGGGGAGUAGAAUUCCAGGUGUAGCGGUGAAAUGCGUAGAGAUCUGGAGGAAUACCGAUGGCGAAGGCAGCUCCCUGGCAUCAUACUGACACUGAGGUGCGAAAGCGUGGGUAGCAAACAGGAUUAGAUACCCUUGUAGUC